rnacentral:other from 1 species
CUACGCCUGCGACGCAGGUGAGGGCACAAGGAUAAACUGAGCCAACACUCGGAGAAGGGGAGUUCAAGUCGCUCGCUGGUGCGCAUGCCCGCAAGGGAAGCCUGAAGGCGAGCGCAGAACACCCACCUGGACCUAGGGUUCAGGCAUAUCGAGUGCCCCACGGUGCCGGCGGACGUAGU